CCAAGAUGAGUGGCACUAGACUGGGCAGGCCUGACUCUAGGUUUGCCAAUUAUUGGCACAAGCACUAGCCCAGUGAGGGUAUCCAGCACAUGGCCACCAAGUGCCCAGAGGUCUGCCUAGGCAUGGAUCUGGGAAAUCUUCUUGUCCUCAAGUCUCUGCACCAGGCAAGGGGGUGGCCUAAACUCCAAAUCUGGGAAAGUGGGUGCUCCAAAUACCUGGUGAUCUGCUUGAUCUUGGAGCAGAAUGGGGCCCCCUGCACCACAAUCUCUGUGUAGGAAGUAUGUUGCAGCUCAUGCUGCUGAUCUUGGUGAAAAGAUGCUCCAACUGCCUGGCGAUCUGCAUGAGUAUGGGGCAGAGAGGGCCCUGCUACAUCAUGGUCUAUGUGCAGGAAGCGUGAAGUGGCUCAGGCUGCUGAUCCAGGUCUUCAUUUUCUGAGGUGCAUUUAGUAUCAGCUGGCACAAUCACUGAUUCCUAAGAACAAAUGCCCCCAAUGUAUAAUCUGUGAUACAUGGUAAGUUAAUACUGCCUUGGUUUACUCUAGAUUGACAUAGCACUUGUGC
rnacentral:lncRNA from 10 species